CCUACGGGAGGCAGCAGUGAGGAAUAUUGGUCAAUGGACGAGAGUCUGAACCAGCCAAGUAGCGUGAAGGAUGACUGCCCUAUGGGUUGUAAACUUCUUUUAUAUGGGAAUAAAAUGUUCCACGUGUGGGAUUUUGUAUGUACCAUAUGAAUAAGGAUCGGCUAACUCCGUUCCAGCAGCCGCGGUAAUACGGAGGAUCCGAGCGUUAUCCGGAUUUAUUGGGUUUAAAGGGAGCGUAGGUGGAUUGUUAAGUCAGUUGUGAAAGUUUGCGGCUCAACCGUAAAAUUGCAGUUGAAACUGGCAGUCUUGAGUACAGUAGAGGUGGGCGGAAUUCGUGGUGGAGCGGUGAAAUGCUUAGAUAUCACGAAGAACUCCGAUUGCGAAGGCAGUUCACUGGACUGCAACUGACACUGAGGCUCGAAAGUGUGGGUAUCAAACAGGAUUAGAUACCCUUGUAGUC
rnacentral:rRNA from 1 species